rnacentral:rRNA from 1 species
UACGGGGGGGGCAAGCGUUGUUCGGAAUUACUGGGCGUAAAGGGCGCGUAGGUGGCCAACUAAGUCAGACGUGAAAUCCCCAGGCUCAACCUGGGAACUGCGUCUGAUACUGGAUGGCUUGAAUCCGGGAGAGGGAUGCAGAAUUCCAGGUGUAGCGGUGAAAUGCGUAGAUAUCUGGAGGAACACCGGUGGCGAAGGCGGCAUCCUGGACCAUGACUGACGCUGAGGAGCGAAAGCCAGGGGAGCAAACGGG